rnacentral:rRNA from 1 species
AGAGUUUGAUCCUGGCUCAGAUUGAACGCUGGCGGCAGGCUUAACACAUGCAAGUCGAGCGGAAACGAUGGGAGCUUGCUCCUAGGCGUCGAGCGGCGGACGGGUGAGUAAUACUUAGGAAUCUGCCCAGUAGUGGGGGAUAGCUCGGGGAAACUCGAAUUAAUACCGCAUACACCCUACGGGGAAAAGGGGGCGCUUGCGCUCUCGCUAUUGGAUGAGCCUAAGUCGGAUUAGCUAGUUGGUGGGGUAAAGGCCUACCAAGGCGACGAUCUGUAGCUGGUCUGAGAGGAUGAUCAGCCACACCGGGACUGAGACACGGCCCGGACUCCUACGGGAGGCAGCAGUGGGGAAUAUUGGACAAUGGGGGCAACCCUGAUCCAGCCAUGCCGCGUGUGUGAAGAAGGCCUUUUGGUUGUAAAGCACUUUAAGCAGUGAAGAAGACUCUAUGGUUAAUACCCAUAGACGAUGACAUUAGCUGCAGAAUAAGCACCGGCUAACUCUGUGCCAGCAGCCGCGGUAAUACAGAGGGUGCAAGCGUUAAUCGGAAUUACUGGGCGUAAAGCGAGCGUAGGUGGCUUGAUAAGUCAGAUGUGAAAUCCCCGGGCUUAACCUGGGAACUGCAUCUGAUACUGUUAGGCUAGAGUAGGUGAGAGGGAGGUAGAAUUUCAGGUGUAGCGGUGAAAUGCGUAGAGAUCUGAAGGAAUACCGAUGGCGAAGGCAGCCUCCUGGCAUCAUACUGACACUGAGGUUCGAAAGCGUGGGUAGCAAACAGGAUUAGAUACCCUGGUAGUCCACGCCGUAAACGAUGUCUACUAGUCGUUGGGGAACUUGAUUCCUUAGUGACGCAGCUAACGCAAUAAGUAGACCGCCUGGGGAGUACGGCCGCAAGGUUAAAACUCAAAUGAAUUGACGGGGGCCCGCACAAGCGGUGGAGCAUGUGGUUUAAUUCGAUGCAACGCGAAGAACCUUACCUGGUCUUGACAUAUCUAGAAUCCUGCAGAGAUGCGGGAGUGCCUUCGGGAAUUAGAAUACAGGUGCUGCAUGGCUGUCGUCAGCUCGUGUCGUGAGAUGUUGGGUUAAGUCCCGCAACGAGCGCAACCCUUUUCCUUAGUUACCAGCGGUUUGGCCGGGGACUCUAAGGAUACUGCCAGUGACAAACUGGAGGAAGGCGGGGACGACGUCAAGUCAUCAUGGCCCUUACGACCAGGGCUACACACGUGCUACAAUGGUAGGUACAGAGGGCAGCUACACAGCGAUGUGAUGCGAAUCUCAAAAAGCCUAUCGUAGUCCAGAUUGGAGUCUGCAACUCGACUCCAUGAAGUCGGAAUCGCUAGUAAUCGCGGAUCAGAAUGCCGCGGUGAAUACGUUCCCGGGCCUUGUACACACCGCCCGUCACACCAUGGGAGUUGAUUGCACCAGAAGUGGGUAGCCUAACUUUUAGAGGGCGCUCACCACGGUGUGGUCGAUGACUGGGGUGAAGUCGUAACAAGGUAGCCGU